AGUGAACGCUGGCGGUAGGCCUAACACAUGCAAGUCGAACGGCAGCACAGUAAGAGCUUGCUCUUACGGGUGGCGAGUGGCGGACGGGUGAGGAAUACAUCGGAAUCUACUUUUUCGUGGGGGAUAACGUAGGGAAACUUACGCUAAUACCGCAUACGACCUACGGGUGAAAGCAGGGGAUCUUCGGACCUUGCGCGAUUGAAUGAGCCGAUGUCGGAUUAGCUAGUUGGCGGGGUAAAGGCCCACCAAGGCGACGAUCCGUAGCUGGUCUGAGAGGAUGAUCAGCCAAACUGGAACUGAGACCCGGUCCAGACUCCUACGGGAGGCAGCAGUGGGGAAUAUUGGACAAUGGGCGCAAGCCUGAUCCAGCCAUACCGCGUGGGUGAAGAAGGCCUUCGGGUUGUAAAGCCCUUUUGUUGGGAAAGAAAAGCAGCAGGUUAAUACCCCGCUGUUCUGACGGUACCCAAAGAAUAAGCACCGGCUAACUUCGUG
rnacentral:rRNA from 1 species